GAGGUUAAGCGACUAAGCGUACACGGUGGAUGCCCUGGCAGUCAGAGGCGAUGAAGGACGUGCUAAUCUGCGAUAAGCGUCGGUGAGGUGAUAUGAACCGUUAUAACCGGCGAUUUCCGAAUGGGGAAACCCAGUGUGUUUCGACACACUAUCAUUAACUGAAUCCAUAGGUUAAUGAGGCGAACCGGGGGAACUGAAACAUCUAAGUACCCCGAGGAAAAGAAAUCAACCGAGAUUCCCCCAGUAGCGGCGAGCGAACGGGGAGGAGCCCAGAGCCUGAAUCAGUGUGUGUGUUAGUGGAAGCGUCUGGAAAGGCGUGCGAUACAGGGUGACAGCCCCGUACACAAAAAUGCACAUAUUGUGAGCUCGAUGAGUAGGGCGGGACACGUGGUAUCCUGUCUGAAUAUGGGGGGACCAUCCUCCAAGGCUAAAUACUCCUGACUGACCGAUAGUGAACCAGUACCGUGAGGGAAAGGCGAAAAGAACCCCGGCGAGGGGAGUGAAAAAGAACCUGAAACCGUGUACGUACAAGCAGUGGGAGCCUCUUAAUGGGGUGACUGCGUACCUUUUGUAUAAUGGGUCAGCGACUUAUAUUCUGUAGCAAGGUUAACCGAAUAGGGGAGCCGAAGGGAAACCGAGUCUUAACUGGGCGUUAAGUUGCAGGGUAUAGACCCGAAACCCGGUGAUCUAGCCAUGGGCAGGUUGAAGGUUGGGUAACACUAACUGGAGGACCGAACCGACUAAUGUUGAAAAAUUAGCGGAUGACUUGUGGCUGGGGGUGAAAGGCCAAUCAAACCGGGAGAUAGCUGGUUCUCCCCGAAAGCUAUUUAGGUAGCGCCUCGUGAAUUCAUCUCCGGGGGUAGAGCACUGUUUCGGCAAGGGGGUCAUCCCGACUUACCAACCCGAUGCAAACUGCGAAUACCGGAGAAUGUUAUCACGGGAGACACACGGCGGGUGCUAACGUCCGUCGUGAAGAGGGAAACAACCCAGACCGCCAGCUAAGGUCCCAAAGUCAUGGUUAAGUGGGAAACGAUGUGGGAAGGCCCAGACAGCCAGGAUGUUGGCUUAGAAGCAGCCAUCAUUUAAAGAAAGCGUAAUAGCUCACUGGUCGAGUCGGCCUGCGCGGAAGAUGUAACGGGGCUAAACCAUGCACCGAAGCUGCGGCAGCGACACUAUGUGUUGUUGGGUAGGGGAGCGUUCUGUAAGCCUGUGAAGGUGGCCUGUGAGGGUUGCUGGAGGUAUCAGAAGUGCGAAUGCUGACAUAAGUAACGAUAAAGCGGGUGAAAAGCCCGCUCGCCGGAAGACCAAGGGUUCCUGUCCAACGUUAAUCGGGGCAGGGUGAGUCGACCCCUAAGGCGAGGCCGAAAGGCGUAGUCGAUGGGAAACAGGUUAAUAUUCCUGUACUUGGUGUUACUGCGAAGGGGGGACGGAGAAGGCUAUGUUGGCCGGGCGACGGUUGUCCCGGUUUAAGCGUGUAGGCUGGUUUUCCAGGCAAAUCCGGAAAACCAAGGCUGAGGCGUGAUGACGAGGCACUACGGUGCUGAAGCGACAAAUGCCCUGCUUCCAGGAAAAGCCUCUAAGCAUCAGGUAACAUCAAAUCGUACCCCAAACCGACACAGGUGGUCAGGUAGAGAAUACCAAGGCGCUUGAGAGAACUCGGGUGAAGGAACUAGGCAAAAUGGUGCCGUAACUUCGGGAGAAGGCACGCUGAUAUGUAGGUGAAGCGACUUGCUCGUGGAGCUGAAAUCAGUCGAAGAUACCAGCUGGCUGCAACUGUUUAUUAAAAACACAGCACUGUGCAAACACGAAAGUGGACGUAUACGGUGUGACGCCUGCCCGGUGCCGGAAGGUUAAUUGAUGGGGUUAGCGGUAACGCGAAGCUCUUGAUCGAAGCCCCGGUAAACGGCGGCCGUAACUAUAACGGUCCUAAGGUAGCGAAAUUCCUUGUCGGGUAAGUUCCGACCUGCACGAAUGGCGUAAUGAUGGCCAGGCUGUCUCCACCCGAGACUCAGUGAAAUUGAACUCGCUGUGAAGAUGCAGUGUACCCGCGGCAAGACGGAAAGACCCCGUGAACCUUUACUAUAGCUUGACACUGAACAUUGAGCCUUGAUGUGUAGGAUAGGUGGGAGGCUUUGAAGUGUGGACGCCAGUCUGCAUGGAGCCGACCUUGAAAUACCACCCUUUAAUGUUUGAUGUUCUAACGUUGGCCCGUAAUCCGGGUUGCGGACAGUGUCUGGUGGGUAGUUUGACUGGGGCGGUCUCCUCCUAAAGAGUAACGGAGGAGCACGAAGGUUGGCUAAUCCUGGUCGGACAUCAGGAGGUUAGUGCAAUGGCAUAAGCCAGCUUGACUGCGAGCGUGACGGCGCGAGCAGGUGCGAAAGCAGGUCAUAGUGAUCCGGUGGUUCUGAAUGGAAGGGCCAUCGCUCAACGGAUAAAAGGUACUCCGGGGAUAACAGGCUGAUACCGCCCAAGAGUUCAUAUCGACGGCGGUGUUUGGCACCUCGAUGUCGGCUCAUCACAUCCUGGGGCUGAAGUAGGUCCCAAGGGUAUGGCUGUUCGCCAUUUAAAGUGGUACGCGAGCUGGGUUUAGAACGUCGUGAGACAGUUCGGUCCCUAUCUGCCGUGGGCGCUGGAGAACUGAGGGGGGCUGCUCCUAGUACGAGAGGACCGGAGUGGACGCAUCACUGGUGUUCGGGUUGUCAUGCCAAUGGCACUGCCCGGUAGCUAAAUGCGGAAGAGAUAAGUGCUGAAAGCAUCUAAGCACGAAACUUGCCCCGAGAUGAGUUCUCCCUGACUCCUUGAGGGUCCUGAAGGAACGUUGAAGACGACGACGUUGAUAGGCCGGGUGUGUAAGCGCAGCGAUGCGUUGAGCUAACCGGUACUAAUGAACCGUGAGGCUUAA
rnacentral:rRNA from 1 species